UACGGAGGGAGCAAGCGUUGUUCGGACUCAUUGGGCGUAAAGGGCGCGUGGGCGGUCCGGUAAGUCGGGUGUGAAAGCCCCGGGCUCAACCCGGGAAGUGCAUUCGAAACUGCCGGACUUGAGUACGGGAGGGGGAAGUGGAAUUCCUGGUGUAGGGGUGAAAUCCGUAGAUAUCAGGAGGAACACCGGUGGCGAAGGCGACUUCCUGGACCGAUACUGACGCUGAGGCGCGAAAGCGUGUGGAGCAAACAGG
rnacentral:rRNA from 1 species